AUCGUGCAUCCCUUUAGAGUG
rnacentral:miRNA from 2 species